CUGCACAGGAGGAUUUUUUCCAGUCAGGGUCCUGGCUAAUAUCCAGCUCUUAGCUGGUAUUAGUCAAACCCUGACUGCAAUAGACUCCAG
rnacentral:pre_miRNA from 1 species